AUCUAUAGCCAUACCACCCUGAAAGUGUCCUAUCUCGUCUGAUCUUGGAAGUUAAGCAGGGUCAGGCCUGGUUAGUACUUGGAUGGGAGAAAAUAAUUCUACAGUCU
rnacentral:rRNA from 2 species